rnacentral:rRNA from 1 species
CCCUUAGAUGUUCUGGGCUGCACGCGCGCUACACUGAUGCGAUCAACAAGUUUUUCCUAUGUCGAUAGACACGGGUAAUCUUUUGAACUCGCAUCGUGAUGGGGAUAGAUUAUUGUAAUUAUUAAUCUUCAACGAGGAAUUCCUAGUAGGUGCAAAUCAUCAGUUUGCAUCGAUUACGUCCCUGCCCUUUGUACACACCGCCCGUCGCUGCUACCGAUUGGUUGAUCUGGUGAAUUAUUCGGACUGCCGGCUGAAGGGGUUUCCUCAUCUGCCAGCGGAAAGUCUUGUUAACCCUAUCAACUAGAGGAAGCAGAAGUCGUAGCA